rnacentral:rRNA from 1 species
AGACUCCUACGGGAGGCAGCAGUAGGGAAUCUUGCGCAAUGGGCGAAAGCCUGACGCAGCAAUGCCGCGUGCGGGACGAAGGCCCUAGGGUCGUAAACCGCUUUCAGUAGGGACGAAAAUGACGGUACCUGCAGAAGAAGCUCCGGCCAACUACGUGCCAGCAGCCGCGGUGAUACGUAGGGAGCAAGCGUUGUCCGGAAUUACUGGGCGUAAGGGCUUCGUAGGUGGUUGAGUAAGUCAGAUGUGAAAUCUCAGGGCCCAACCCUGAGCCUGCAUUUGAUACUGCUCUGACUAGAGUCCGGUAGGGGAGUGCGGAACUCCUGGUGUAGCGGUGAAAUGCGCAGAUAACAGGAAGAACACCGACAGCGAAGGCAGCACUCUGGGCCGGUACUGACACUGAGGAGCGAAAGCAUGGGUAGCAAACAGGAUUAGAUACCCUGGUAGUCCAUGCCGUAAACGUUGGGCACUAGGUGUGGGGAGAACUCAACUCUCUCCGCGCCGUAGCUAACGCAUUAAGUGCCCCGCCUGGGGAGUACGGCCGCAAGGCUAAAACUCAAAGGAAUUGACGG